GAUGAACGCUGGCGGUAUACUUACCACAUGCAAGUCGACCGGUCUCUUCGGAGAUAGUGGCGGACGGGUGAGUAACGCGUUAGAAUUAGGGUUCAGGUCUGGGACAACAGUUUGAAACGGCUGCUAAUACCGGAUGUGCCUGUGGGUGAAAGGUUUACUGCCUGAAGAUGAGCUCGCGUCCGAUUAGUUAGUUGGUGUGGUAAGAGCGCACCAAGGCAGCGAUCGGUAGCUGGUCUGAGAGGAUGAUCAGCCACACUGGAACUGAGACACGGUCCAGACUCCUACGGGAGGCAGCAGUGGGGAAUUUUCCGC
rnacentral:rRNA from 1 species